rnacentral:rRNA from 1 species
CCUACGGGUGGCAGCAGUAGGGAAUCUUCCACAAUGGACGAAAGCCUGAUGGAGCAACGUCGCGUGAGUGAUGACGGGUCUCGGCUCGUAAAGCUCCGUUGGUAGUGAAGAAAGAUAGAGGUAGUAACUGGCCUUUAUUUGACGGUAAUUAAUUAGAAAGUCACGGCUAACUACGUGCCAGCAGCCGCGGUAAUACGUAGGUGGCAAGCGUUGUCCGGAUUUAUUUGGCGUAAAGGGAGUGCAGGAGGUACAAUAAGUCUGCUGUGAAAGGCUUGGGCUCAACCCGUGAAUUGCAGCAGAAACUGGUGUACUUGAGUGCGGAAGAGGAAAGCGGAACUCGAUGUGUAGCGGUGGAAUGCGUAGAUAUAUGGAAGAACACCGGUUGCGAAGGCAGCUCUCUGGUCUGCAACUGACGCUGAGGCUCGAAAGCAUGGGUAGCGAACAGGAUUAGAUACCCUGGUAGUC